rnacentral:tRNA from 1 species
UGCCCUGUCGUCUAACGGUAGGACCGCGCGUUUUGAGCGCGCUAGUCUUGGUUCGAAUCCAAGCGGGGCAUCCA